AUUGAACGCUGGCGGCAGGCCUAACACAUGCAAGUCGAACGAGUGGCGGACGGGUGAGUAAUGUCUGGGAAAAUGCCUGAUGGAGGGGGAUAACUACUGGAAACGGUAGCUAAUACCGCAUAACAUUGGAUGUGCCCAGAUGGGAUUAGCUAGUAGGUGGGGUAACGGCUCACCUAGGCGACGAUCCCUAGCUGGUCCGAGAGGAUGACCAGCCACACUGGGACGGAGACACGGUCCAGACUCCUACGGGAGGCAGCAGUGGGGAAUCUUGGACAAUGGGCGAAAGCCGGAUGCAGCAAUGCCGCGUGUAUGAAGAAGGCCUUCGGGUUGUAAAGUACUUUCAGCAGAGAAGCGUUACCCGCAGAAGAAGCACCGGCUAACUCCGUGCCAGCAGCCGCGGUAAUUC
rnacentral:rRNA from 1 species